CUAACCAAACAACCCCCUUCUUCAUACUCUAACAUCCCUAAACGUCACCACCCACCCCAUCGCCGCCACCCUGUCACCCCCCAUCACGUCACUUCCGCCACCGCACCCAUCGGACCACCGGACAAACUCCUGCGCCGACAUCACGCAUCUCCUAUCGCCUAUCACCUAUCACCUUUUCCCUUUUUUUUUGAAGACGUUUCCAAAAGCUAUAAAGGGAGAGAUUCUUAAAUCCUUCGGUCUGGGAGAUAAAAGUCCUUCAAUUCGAUGAACAAUGGCAAGAACCACCAUACUCUACACCCCAACGGCUUUUCUCCUCUCAAAUCGAACUGAAAAGUUCUCGGCUUGACAACAAACAACUUUGAGCGGAUUCGGAGACUCAACGACGACAAUAGCCUCAGUUCGCUGUCACGGUGAAGGUAAUCACACUCAUCCUCUCUUCGUCUUUCAUUUUUAUAAGAAGUAGAAAUGUAGUCGUUCAAGUAUUCCUCGUCGUUUGCUUGGUUUGGUUGGCUGGAAUGUGUUCUCUCCUCGUUUGUUGUAAAUUAGUGUAAGGUGACUAAUUUCGUCGAAUAUGUGUUCAACCCCAUCGUUGCUCGUCUUGGCAUUUUCUUUAUAUUUCUUUAGUUCUGUCACUUCUGAAUUUAUUUAGUGUGUUUAGUUGUAAUCUUGUUAGAGUCAAGUAAAUAAUUUGCUUUCUCUCAUAUGCUAAGUAUAGUCGCUGUUUCUUUUAGUUUCGAACUAGAUCAGUUUAAGGUCGGGUAAAACUGAUGACGAGGAUUAAAGUCUGUGCUUAAGGUUGUGUAUUGUUUGGUAUGGCUGAUACUAUGCUUUAGCUAUAUAUAUUUUUUCUAUGCGUUGGCUAGUGUCAAAUAUAAAACAUUACCGGAGCUUUAAGGCUGUUUUUCGUUCAAGAUGCUUUCUUUGGGAAUAGUUAAUCUAGGUUGAGACCUUGACAUUUUUAUAUGAUUCAUGUGCUAGCAUUGAAACUAUUCUAAGAUUCUACUGGAAGAUGAUUGUCCCAAACUCAUUAACAUGGACUAUAUGUGUACAAGUCUUUAAGAUCCUCAUUUUUUGUUUAUGGAUUGUUGUGGAUGUAGUCAUACUGUUUGUAACUCUCCAUUGCAUUUUUGUUUGAAACUAAUUGAGUUAAAAUGGUUGUAGUUGGACAAGGUGAAUAAGAGUGUAACUCCAAGCAGGGCUGUUUGUUGUUUGAAGUUGUAGCUCUGGUAGUUCAUGUAUGUCAAAUAUUGGUUGAAAGUUAACUGUCCGAACCUCCUUGACUGGUCAGGGCAGUAAAAAAUAAUAAUUGAGUUGUUUAAACAAAGUAUUUUACCUAAAACAUUUAAGAACUGGUUUUCAUGUUGUCAGAUAAGUCUAAAGGUUUUCUCUUUCUUUCUAAAAAAGGAUUUACUUGUUUUGUCUUCGAGAUGCUCAAGAUGCAGUUAAGUCAUGACCAUAUUUUGGUCCAGAAAUGGGUAAAAUCUUCUCUCUGAGGCAUGUUUCUUGGAAUUAGGAUUUUUUUUAGUUCAAGUCCUUGAAAAACUGUUUGUUGGUUGAACCACUGUCACAUUUGAAAUGGUUGUUCCUACUUUGUGAUAUGCUAUUCAAAUGCUACUUCUUUAUGUGAAUGAACACUUGGUGUUGUUGCUGCACUUUGGAGGCUCUCAAAAUGCCUUACUUUGGGAUAAAUUUAUUGCAUUCUGGGGGAGAAAAAAUGCCAUACUGUGAGUAAUUUUAUUGCUGCAUACUGUAGCAAAUAGCUGCCAUAGUCUUUGUUGUUGUUGUUGUUUGAGCUGUUGUGUUGCCACUGCUAUUUGCUGUUUUGCUACACUUGAAACCAAUUGUUUGUGUCCUUUGAGCUAGAUGUCGUGCUUAGUUGCAGUACUUCGGUACAAUUUUGCUGCAUUUUUGGGGUUUGAAAGAUGCCACAUUUUUAGUGAAACUACCGCUGCAUUUUGGGCUGCGUUUAAGGCAAUUUGUUGCUGCUAUCUAUUGCUAUGAUUAACUGCAGUACUGAUUGUGCCAAGGAACUGUCCCUGUGUUGUUUUAGUACAGGUUUAAACCCGGUAGUUUUUCUUUGUUUUAUCAUGUUGUAGCAUUAGUUCCAAAAUGUGCAUUUGCUUAGAUAUUAGUGUGACUAACUACUGCGCCAUCCCUUUAUUUUAAUAAUAUAAAUUUGUCUUCCAGCUCCUCUUUUAUCUCUUGCAUUCAUUUUUUUGUUUCUAUCACUAGAUAAUAACUAAAACAGUCUAUCCUUUUUAAGUUAACAAUGCGUAAUGUCUUGAAAUUUGAUUGCCUUACAAUUUAGAUUGCUUCUAAUCCUUUUCUUUCUUUUGUUUUCUUUGCAUAUGUACGUGGGAGUAUACUGGAGUUGUAUGACAACUCCAAGACUGCUCGGAAAUAGAGAAACAGCAGUGUCAUUCGCUUGUGUCUAGCAGCCUCGUUCGCGUCCACGUCCUUUUCCCUCUCUUCAUGCUUUUAUCUUUUUUUUUUUUUACAUACGAUUUGACUAACAAUUGUACCAAUUUGGUAUUUGUAUUUACGCUUUGAUUAAUUUGUGUUUGGGUUUGCGUAAACAGUAUCUGACCUCUUUUUAUGUUUUUAUUGAGUCGAGGGUCUCUCGGAAACAGCCAUCCUACCUUGGUAGGAGUAAGGUCUGCGCACACUCUACCCUCCCCAGACCCCACGUUGUGGGAUUUCACUGGGUUGUUGUUGUUGUUGUUUGCGUAAACAGACUGUUACAUGAUAGUGAACACUCAUUGAUUUCCCUCCCUCUUUAGAUGCUAACCUUGAUUUAGAGUAAAAGGUAUUUUAUUAAUCA